AUUGAACGCUGGCGGCAUGCCUUACACAUGCAAGUCGAACGGCAGCACGGGUGCUUGCACCUGGUGGCGAGUGGCGAACGGGUGAGUAAUACAUCGGAACAUGUCCUGUAGUGGGGGAUAGCCCGGCGAAAGCCGGAUUAAUACCGCAUACGAUCUACGGAUGAAAGCGGGGGACCUUCGGGCCUCGCGCUAUAGGGUUGGCCGAUGGCUGAUUAGCUAGUUGGUGGGGUAAAGGCCUACCAAGGCGACGAUCAGUAGCUGGUCUGAGAGGACGACCAGCCACACUGGGACUGAGACACGGCCCAGACUCCUACGGGAGGCAGCAGUGGGGAAUUUUGGAGAAUGGGCGAAAGCCUGAUCCAGCAAUGCCGCGUGUGUGAAGAAGGCCUUCGGGUUGUAAAGCACUUUUGUCCGGAAAGAAAUCCUUGGCCCUAAUACGGUCGGGGGAUGACGGUACCGGAAGAAUAAGCACCGGCUAACUACGUG
rnacentral:rRNA from 1 species